GUGAAAAGAAGUAGAAACGUAAUGUAUUUUUCGUUUAAAGUGGAAUAAAAUAAUCAGUCGAGCAUGAAAAUUAUUAGUUUUAUGCGUAAUCUUUACAAAAUGUUUGUCGCAUGAUAAUUGCGUAUCUGUGUAAAUGAGAAUUUAAUUACGGAAAUGUUAUUGCGCACAUGAAAAAUCAGCCUGCUGGCGUGUAUAAUGCUGCUAUUGAAUAAGCAAGCAAAAAAGUUAAACUUUUGGACAAUCAAAGGGUCGCGGUUAUGCUUUGGAAAUUGGAAAUUAUCAGCUCCAUUUCAAUGCGCAAGUACAAAUACCAAAGGUAUACAAAAAAUACAAAAGUAUCUACGAAUAUAUAUUUUACAUAUGUGUACAUAUUAUACAUAUAUUCAAAUGAACGUUGUAAAUAUAUCCAGCAAGAAUUUCUAAAUUUGGCUGAUACCACUUGAAAGGAAGAUCUCUUCAAAGCUGUAAAUAGGAAAAUUGUUUUAAAAAAUAUUGAAAACAUUUCCGCUCAACAGCUACCAUUGACAUUACAAGACUUCAUUUCGUUUUGUAUUUCACUACAUAUGUAUGCAGUAAUUGCUUGGAAUAAUUGAAAAAUUAAACUCAUUUCGAAUGGGAGAUAACGUCGUAAAGGGCAGAUGAUGUGAGCAAUGGUUGAAAUUAUGCUGUAUACAGCUCAUGCGUUCGAUGACAAAGCGGUAUUUGAAAAUGGAAAGCAAAAACUAUCGAAAUACAAUCAUAUUUGUUGAUACGAAACAGACAAAAAAAUUAAAUAAAUUAAAUUAAAAAAUUAAAUUAAAGCUGUAUUAAGUCAUAUUCUGAUAACGAAGAAGGCUCUCAUCUUCAAGCAAUAUUAAACGACUGAAUUCCAGCAUCGUAAAAAAUUAAAAUAAUUCGUCAUAGACUAAUAAUUUUUAAAUGUAUAUUUAGUUAUUAUACUGCUUUUACGGUGCAAUGUAAACCUACAAUUUGCUAAUUGGCGUCUGCUGCUGCGUGUGACGUAGUAAAACAGCUGAAAGAAAGGCUUGAAAAGUUUGCUGCAAGCAAAGUGCAACCAGAAAUACCAACUAAACCAGUUUUGAGCGCAAAUCAUUUUAUAAAAAAAAUAUGUAUUUUAUGAAAUACGAA